ensembl:lncRNA
CCCAUCUAUGUCAUUAUAUAUUGUUUUACAUGAUACCCCACAGUUUUCUUUUAUUAAAAUCGCAACUCCUCUUCCCAGCCUCCCAUCACCAUUGUUAUAAAAAAUCUCUCCACUCCACCUUUUCCUUAUUUCAGUCAUGUACUCUUCCCUCCAGUUAGUUUCUUGUAAUAAAAUCACAUCCUCUCCUUUACACAUUUCUUUCACUUUUUCAAAUUUUCCUAUGUCUGAAAGCCCUCUAGCAUUAAAAGUAACAAUUCUUAAAAGCAUAACACAUAUAAAAACAUGCAUAAAACCCAUAAACUCAGUCCAUCUCCUCCAAACCCUUUAGCAACUCAUACUUAUUCGUACACUCAAUACCAUCUUCUUUAAGCACUCUUUUUCUUGCAGUAUCUAAAUUGGGUAUUACCUUUACCGAUCUUCUUCUUUUCGAUGAUUUCCCCUGCGUCUCCUCAUUUUCUUUUCCUUUCUUUCACUUUCUUUUGUAGCAUAUUGUUUCUCAUUACUCUGAUCAUUAAGUUCCACAUCGUCCAUCACCUUUUGCAAACUGUCCGCCACAUCCAUCUGUGUCCAUAAAUUCCCUCCUGUUGUGCAUACUCAUCUUUAUUCCUUUUAUCUCCAGUUCCACAUAUCCAAAGAUUUUGCAAGCUGUCAGUCAAAUCCAUCUGUGUCCAAAUUCCCCCAUCCUGUUGUGUUUGUAUGUCCUGUUCGUUACACUCUUUCUGUUGUUCUGUAUUGUUAUUUGAUUGUCCUUCAUCUUGCACACUUGUUUCAUCCUCUCUCUGUUCGUUGUCUCGUUCAUGCACCUGCCUGCCCACCUGCUGCUCUUCCUCCUCCUCCUCCUCGCCCUCCAUCCAACACUCACACUUUAUUUAAAAACCAAAUUGCAAUCCGGGCACAUCACAGCGUUGCAGUUCCUGCAGAAAUGGCCCCCUUUCCUCGCAUUUAUGGCACUUAAACUCCGGGCAGUCCUUCACCACAUGGUCUGGGCUCAUGCACAGCCGACAAGUCUUCACUUGAUGGCUGUGCAUCACCCGAAAGUAUUGUGGACCCUCUGCCGUUUCCAUUUUUGUGCUAUACGGUAGGGAGGCCACCUCCUUCGGAAACCGCGCCUUUACGUAUCUUGUCCCAUCCUCUAUGCUGGUGCCCGGAUAAACACGCCGCUUUAUUUUUGAAAUUGGGGAAACCCCCCAAACCUCCAGUUUAUUUAAAAUCUCUUCAUCAGCAAGAUAGACGGGCAGAUGCAUGAAAGAGACAACAUAAUCUCUGUUUUGCAGUUUCUUUAUCUCACAGUUCACUCCUUUAAUUAACAAUCCCUCAGUCAGUUCAUCACAUGUUUCUUCUUUUUCCAUUGUCAGUUCAUAUUCCUUUCCUUGUCUUGGCCUGAGUGCUAAGAUUUUACCAUAUCCACAUUUGUCCGUCACCGCUUUAAUAAUAUCCACAGCUCUCACCUCACUUACAUUCUCCACAUUCACAAUCACAGUUGCCUCCUUUAAAUAUUUCCUUUCACCAAAAGUAUGUCUUGCAUCUUGAUUUUUACCGUGUACUGCUCGUUGUCGAUACUCCAGUCCAGUGUCGUUUGCCAUGCGUCUCUCUCCAGCCAGUCCAGUGUCGUUUGCCGUGCGUGUUCCUCCAGCCAGUCCAGUGUCGUUUGCCGUGCGUGUUCCUCCUGCCAGUCCAGUGUCGUUUGCCGUGCGUGUCUCUCCAGCCAGUCCAGUGUCGUUCGCCAAUAAUCCAUCCAUUGUUUAGAAAAAACAAAAAACAAAAAAAAACAAACACAAACAAAAAUUAACCACCCUCCAGCCAGCACUAGAGCUGCUGUUAGGUGGU